rnacentral:rRNA from 1 species
UACGAAGGGGGCAAGCGGUGUUCGGAAUUACUGGGCGUAAAGCGCGUGUAGGCGGGCCGUUAAGUCGGGGGUGAAAGCCCAGAGCUCAACUCUGGAAUUGCCUUCGAUACUGGCGGCCUGGAGCAUGAUAGAGGCGAGUGGAAUUGCGAGUGUAGAGGUGAAAUUCGUAGAUAUUCGCAGGAACACCAGUGGCGAAGACGACUCGCUGGAUCAUUGCUGACGCUGAGACGCGAAAGCGUGGGGAGCAAACAGG